rnacentral:rRNA from 1 species
AUUGAACGCUGGCGGUAGGCCUAACACAUGCAAGUCGAACGCGAAAGUCCUUCGGGAUGAGUAGAGUGGCGGACGGGUGAGUAACGCGUAGGAAUCUAUCCUGUAGUGGGGGAUAACGUUUCGAAAGGAACGCUAAUACCGCAUACGCCCCAAGGGGGAAAGCGGGGGAUCUUCGGACCUCGUGCUAUAGGAUGAGCCUGCGUCGGAUUAGCUAGUUGGUGAGGUAAAGGCUCACCAAGGCGACGAUCCGUAGCUGGUCUGAGAGGAUGAUCAGCCACACCGGAACUGAGACACGGUCCGGACUCCUACGGGAGGCAGCAGUGGGGAAUAUUGCGCAGUGGGCGAAAGCCUGACGCAGCCAUACCGCGUGUGUGAAGAAGGCCUUCGGGUUGUAAAGCACUUUCAGUGGGGAGGAAAAGCUGGUGGCUAAUAUCCAUCGGCUGUGACGCUACCCACAGAAGAAGCACCGGCUAAUUCCGUGCCAGCAGCCGCCGCAG